rnacentral:rRNA from 1 species
GUGAGGAAUUUUCCGCAAUGGGCGAAAGCCUGACGGAGCAAUGCCGCGUGAAGGAGGAAGGCCUAUGGGUUGUAAACUUCUUUUCUCAGAAAAGAAUUAUGACGGUAUCUGAGGAAUAAGCAUCGGCUAACUCUGUGCCAGCAGCCGCGGUAAGACAGAGGAUGCAAGCGUUAUCCGGAAUGAUUGGGCGUAAAGCGUCUGUAGGUUGUUUAAAAAGUAUUCUGUAAAAGAUUAGGGCUUAACCCUAGAUAGGCAGAAUAAACUUUUAAGCUAGAGUUUGGUAGAGGCAGAGGGAAUGCCCGGUGGAGCGGUGAAAUGCGUAGAUAUCGGGAGGAACACCAAAGGCGAAGGCACUCUGCUGGGCCAAUACUAACACUGAGAGACGAAAGCGAGGGGAGCAAAUGGGAUUAGAAACCCCGGUAGUCC